rnacentral:sRNA from 1 species
CUAUCUUCAAAGCUGUAUUCUUUCCCAAUUUAAUAUAGCAUAACAAAUGUUCAAUUUCAGGCAGACACAUCCGAAUGUAGGAAUCUAUCUUCGACAAGGUCUUAAGCCUCCGUUCCAUGAGUAGAAUCAUGAAUUGGAUGAGUACGUGUUUUCUUCUUGAGAAGAGGAAUUGGGGACAUAAUCUCAGUCAAUGCUUUAGCCAUCAAAAUGAGCCUUUGCCAAAUAAAUCUUUCUGAAACCAAUAACGCUAACAAAGUAGAAAUCCCAGAAAUAAAGAAAAGCCCAGAGAAGCUAUGAAAGCUGAGACUGAGAGUUUCAGAAGAUAUUUCCCCAGACGAAACUUCUCCUCCAAUAUAAUUCUUUCCAAAAUAUUUUUCUUCAAUCUCAUUCAUUAUUCCACUUUCAAUCACAUCCAGGAUUGCUGUCGAAAAGUAAGCCGUGAGAUUGGAAUUUAACGGGAUUACAAAACCAAACCCAGCAUUUCUAUAUUCGGGGCCAGACAUAACGUAAUUGGAUCCGUAUUCUUGAAGGUAAAUUUUAAGGUAGGGAACUUCGUCGAAUAUAGCUGCAACACCCCCAUUUUGGCUUCCAAGCUCUAGAGCAUCAUGGUACUCAGCAAUGUUUCUGUACGGCCUUAGUUUGGAUGGGUCAAACUUAAAUUGGUCAAUCAAGACAUCGUAAACAAAAGACUCAGACUGGUAUCCAACGUAGUAACCCCUUCUCCUUAUAUCAUUAAGGUUCAGAAAACUGGGUCGCAGUUGAUCUAAGGUCAAUAUAGAAGUCAAGUUAGCAGUGUAACUUUGCAUGAGGACGAACGCCAGUAGAAGCCAAACCAUCAGCACAAAUCUUGAGCAGCUCUUUACCACUACUUCUCCUGAAAAUCUCAAAUUUUGAAACCAACAAAGAUAAUUAAUCCCAUAUAUAAAUUAUAUAAAACUGAAGCAUCAAUCAACAGCGUAUGUGUAAUUACUUUCAGGAAGAAUGGCUUGUGAUAAUGGAAACCACAAGAUGGUUGCAGGGCAAAGCUUUUUUUGAUUUGGAGAACCCUCUUGAUUAGGCAGAGCGUUCACGUUUCUUUCCAUGAUGAGUAUGGCAAGCCCUAUGAAGGUAGAGAUGAUGAUUAUGCUCAGCCAAAGAUCCCAACUGAAGGGUUUAACAAAAGUCCACAUGGUUUGAUCCCUCCCGUGUUUAACUGGUACUACCAUUUUAACACCUGAUGCAAUAUAUGGUACUGUGAAAUCUACAAACUUCGAACGGUUGGCCAGGAUCGUCACAUC